UGGGGAAUUUUGGACAAUGGGGGAAACCCUGAUCCAGCCAUCCCGCGUGUGCGAUGAAGGCCUUCGGGUUGUAAAGCACUUUUGGCAGGAAAGAAACGUCGCGGGUUAAUACCCCGCGAAACUGACGGUACCUGCAGAAUAAGCACCGGCUAACUACGUGCCAGCAGCCGCGGUAAUACGUAGGGUGCAAGCGUUAAUCGGAAUUACUGGGCGUAAAGCGUGCGCAGGCGGUUCGGAAAGAAAGACGUGAAAUCCCAGAGCUUAACUUUUGGAACUGCAUUUUUAACUACCGGGCUAGAGUGUGUCAGAGGGAGGUGGAAUUCCGCGUGUAGCAGUGAAAUGCGUAGAUAUGCGGAGGAACACCGAUGGCGAAGGCAGCCUCCUGGGAUAACACUGACGCUCAUGCACGAAAGCGUGGGGAGCAAACAGGAUUAGAUACCCUGGUAGUCCACGCCCUAAACGAUGUCAACUAGCUGUUGGGGCCUUCGGGCCUUGGUAGCGCAGCUAACGCGUGAAGUUGACCGCCUGGGGAGUACGGUCGC
rnacentral:rRNA from 1 species